UACGUAGGGACCGAGCGUUGUCCGGAUUAAUUGGGCGUAAAGAGCUCGUAGGCGGCUGUUCAAGUCGAACGUGAAAACUCGGAGCUCAACUCCGAGCCUGCGUUCGAUACUGGACGGCUAGAGUCUGGUAGGGGGAUCUGGAAUUCCUGGUGUAGCGGUGGAAUGCGCAGAUAUCGUAAGGAAGACCAGUGGCGAAGGCGGGUCUCUGGACAGUUCCUGACGCUGAGGCACGAAGGUCAGGGGAGCAAACGGG
rnacentral:rRNA from 1 species